AUUGAACGCUGGCGGAAUGCUUUACACAUGCAAGUCGAACGGUAGAGGGGGCAACCCCUUGAGAGUGGCGAACGGGUGAGUAAUAUAUCGGAACGUGCCCAGUCGUGGGGAUAACGUAGCGAAAGUUACGCUAAUACCGCAUACGAUCUAAGGAUGAAAGCGGGGGAUCGCAAGACCUCGCGCGAUUGGAGCGGCCGAUAUCAGAUUAGGUAGUUGGUGAGGUAAGGGCUCACCAAGCCAACGAUCUGUAGCUGGUCUGAGAGGACGACCAGCCACACUGGAACUGAGACACGGUCCAGACUCCUACGGGAGGCAGCAGUGGGGAAUUUUGGACAAUGGGCGCAAGCCUGAUCCAGCAAUGCCGCGUGCAGGAUGAAGGCCUUCGGUUGUAAACUGACUUUGUUACGGAACGAAACGGUAGAGCGU
rnacentral:rRNA from 1 species